CCUACGGGAGGCAGCAGUGGGGAAUAUUGCACAAUGGGGGAAACCCUGAUCCAGCGACGCCGCGUGAGUGAAGACGUCUUUCGGUAUUUAAAGCUCUAUCAGCAGGGCAGAAAAUGACGGUACCUGAUUCAGAAUCCCCGUCUAACUACGUGCCAGAAGCCGCAGUAAUACGUAGGGGGCAAGCGUUAUCCGGAUUUACUGGGUGUAACGGGAGCUUAGAGGGCAGCACAAGUCUGGAGUGAAAUGCCGGGGAUUAACCCCGGAACUUCUUUUGAAACUGUGCAGCUAGAGUGCAGUAGAGGUAAGUGGAAUUCCUAGUGUAGCGGUGAAAUGCGUAGAUAUUACGAAGAACACCAGUGGCGAAGGCAGCUUACUGGACUGUAACUGACGUUGAGGCUCGAAAGCGUGGGGAGCAAACAGGAUUAGAUACCCGUGUAGUC
rnacentral:rRNA from 1 species